rnacentral:pre_miRNA from 1 species
AUUCAAAUCUCUUGGGCAUCUUUUUAAAAUGCAGAUUCUGAUUCAAAAAGUAAGGGGGCCCUGAGAGUCUGCAUUUUUAACAAGCUCCCAGGUAAUGCUGAU